CACAGUGCUAGACUGGGGCGAUCGCCGUGCCUUGUUACUGCAAACCGGCGUUACGGCAGAGUCGAAGCCCGCACCGAGGCGUAAUCCUGGCGUGUUGAGUCGCAGGCCUACCGUCGAUCUUGCGUCCACACUGAUGUACUGAACGCUGAAUCCUGUCAGGCGGGGAACCGAGCAGCAGUAAGGCAGUCAGCGCGUGUAGUGCGGGUCGCGCAGGGGAGGAAAGUCUGUGUCUCCUCAAUAUAUCAGGUAGCAUCCAGGUGCGGGCGCGCACUUUU
rnacentral:SRP_RNA from 1 species